AUUGAACGCUGGCGGCAUGCCUUACACAUGCAAGUCGAACGGUAACGGGCCUUCGGGUGCCGACGAGUGGCGAACGGGUGAGUAAUGUAUCGGAACGUACCUUUCAGUGGGGGAUAACGUAGCGAAAGUUACGCUAAUACCGCAUAUUCUGUGUGCAGGAAAGCAGGGGAGCGCAAGACCUUGCGCUGAUUGAGCGGCCGAUAUCAGAUUAGCUAGUUGGUGAGGGAAAGGCUCACCAAGGCGACGAUCUGUAGCGGGUCUGAGAGGAUGAUCCGCCAAACUGGAACUGAGACACGGUCCAGACUCCUACGGGAGGCAGCAGUGGGGAAUUUUGGACAAUGGGGGCAACCCUGAUCCAGCCAUGCCGCGUGAGUGAAGAAGGCCUUCGGGUUGUAAAGCUCUUUCGGCCGGGAAGAAAUCGUAUCAGCUAAUACCUGAUGCGGAUGACGGUACCGGCAUAAGAAGCACCGGCUAACUACGUGCCAGCCGCCGCAGUAACAC
rnacentral:rRNA from 1 species